CUACGGGAUGCAGCAGUGGGGAAUUUUGCGCAAUGGGCGAAAGCCUGACGCAGCAACGCCGCGUGAGGGAUGAAGGCCUUCGGGUUGUAAACCUCUUUCGGGUGGGAAGAAAAAAAUGACGGUACCACCAGAAGAAGCCCCGGCUAACUCCGUGCCAGCAGCCGCGGUAAUACGGAGGGGGCAAGCGUUGUUCGGAAUUAUUGGGCGUAAAGCGUAUGUAGGCGGUCUGGCAAGUCAGACGUGUAAGCCCACGGCUCAACCGUGGAAUUGCGUUUGAAACUAUCAGGCUUGAAUUCGGAAGAGGAAAGCGGAAUUCCCAGUGUAGCGGUGAAAUGCAUUGAUAUUGGGAAGAACAUCGGUGGCGAAGGCGGCUUUCUGGUCCGAUACUGACGCUGAGAUACGAAAGCCAGGGGAGCAAACGGGAUUAGAUACCCGCGUAGUC
rnacentral:rRNA from 1 species